GACUCUAAUUAUUGCAUAUACACUCCGUAUAAAAUAAAAAAAAAUUUGUAUCUUUGUUAAUCAUAUUGAUAAAUUAUAAAUAUUUAUAUAAUUUAAGUGAUCAAUUAUUAUCAACAAAUAGACUUUAACGCAGUUUUUGAAGAAUCAUUUGUUGUAAUCGUUCAGCUGCGUUAUUGAAAAUCUGUUUAACCAUCAGUGUCGUUGAUUCAACAUCAUUAUCGUCAUCAUCAACGCGGGUUUCAACAGAUUAAUCAUCAUUCUCUAUAAUUGAAUGAUUUCAACGAAGUUAUUGAAAAAUUGUUUGUUGUCAUCAUUCAGUUGUUGAAAAUCUGUUUAACCCUCAGUGCCGUUGAUUCAACACCACCGUCAUCAACAUCCUUAUCACCGCGGGUUAUAACAGAUUAAUCAUCGUCCUCUCUAAUUGAAUAAUACCCAAUAAGAGAGGACAAAUAUCAUCUGAAAAUAUCUGUAAAUAUCUGUAAAUAUCUGUAAAUAUCUGUAAAUAUCUGACAAAAUAUCUGACAAAAUAUCUGACAAAAUAUCUG